UACGGGGGGAGCAAGCGUUGUUCGGAUUUACUGGGCGUAAAGGGCGCGUAGGCGGCCAGCACAAGUCAGUUGUGAAAUCUCCGAGCUUAACUCGGAAAGGUCAACUGAUACUGUGCGGCUAGAGUGCGGAAGGGGCAACUGGAAUUCUUGGUGUAGCGGUGAAAUGCGUAGAUAUCAAGAGGAACACCUGCGGCGAAGGCGGGUUGCUGGGCUGACACUGACGCUGAUGCGCGAAAGCUAGGGGAGCGAACGGG
rnacentral:rRNA from 1 species